rnacentral:lncRNA from 1 species
CCCUCGCCCUGCCAUUGGCUGAGCCGCCCCUCUUCUCCUUUGCCAUUGGCGCUCACGGCCAAUCCUUCUCUUUUUAGGUUCCGCCCCCCGCUUCCUGCCCCCGGCUUCCUGUGGCGUCUUCCGGGUAGCGCCGCGCCCCCGGCGCGGGAGAGGCUCGUGGAGGGUAAGAACUGGUCUGUCCAUUUUGGAAGCAAUUAGAAGAUUGCUGUUUCUCCCAGCCAUGGCGAACGGCUUCAGGCAAGAGCUAAGAGCUCUGUGGAAUUGCUUCAGUGGAGCUGAUGCUUGCUGAAUGUUUCGGGCUACCAAGGAAGAGAAAAGCCUGAGGAUGGAGGUGGCCCUUUGCUGGCCCAUCGAGCUGUGGUCUGGGAAGAUGCCUGGUCAGUUGUUAGUCCAGCUACCAAAUUAGUGAUGGUCAGAUUGUGCAGCAAACAGCAGCUCGCCUGGGAAAUCUUGAAUGUCAGGAGUAAGUAGUAGCCACAUCUUUUAUAGUUACUUUAUUUGCAGAUGUUUAAUAGCUCCUGCUGAUGUUGGGUUAUGUGCCUGGGCAGCCAUGGGCAGC